rnacentral:rRNA from 1 species
GAUAAACGCUGGCGGCGUGCUUAACACAUGCAAGUCGAACGAAGUUUUUCCUUCGGGAGAAACUUAGUGGCGGACGGGCGAGUAACGCGUGGGUAACCUGCCCUGUACAGGGGGACAACAGCUGUAAACGGCUGCUAAUACAGCAUAAGCCCUUAGCACUGCAUGGUGCAUAGGGAAAAGGAGCAAUCCGGUACAGGAUGGACCCGCGUCUGAUUAGCCAGUUGGCAGGGUAACGGCCUACCAAAGCGACGAUCAGUAGCCGAUCUGAGAGGAUGUACGGCCACAUUGGGACUGAGACACGGCCCAGACUCCUACGGGAGGCAGCAGUGGGGAAUAUUGCACAAUGGAGGAAACUCUGAUGCAGCGACGCCGCGUGAGUGAAGAAGUAUUUCGGUAUGUAAAGCUCUAUCAGCAGGGAAGAAAAUGACGGUACCUGACUAAGAAGCACCGGCUAAAUACGUG